UCCAGAUCGGUUUUCAAAUUCAGAAGCUGACGAAUUUCGGAAGUACAGUUUAUGCAGAGAAAAUCAUUGUUAUAAACUUUCGUUCAAGCUAUCAAAGUCUACUGAACAGAAAAUAGAUCGAAUUUGUAAAUACACUGAACAUUUAGACCGCCAGGAUUUAUGCCGGAUUUCAUUGUACCCAGAACAACAAAACAAACAAUGGCCUGGAUACAAGUAUCUACAGCCUGUUCGCAGGCAAACAAGAAAGAACAGUACCUGAAAAUAGACAUUUAUGUGACCUUUGUAUGUCCAUUACGGGGCCAUAUUUAUCCAUCAUAGUUUCUUUGUAUCCAUUUAUUAUAAUCACAAAUAUCCACUGCCGGUCAUAGACAUUUGAUCAAUCCUUUCAUUUCAUCCGAGAACUACUGUCUUUGGUGUAUUGUUGUAAUUUGAUUAGAAAUAGAGGUACGGGGGUCCUGUAUUGCUCUUCGAGGCAUGUCAUCUUGGUAACAUGAUAUUUUAUAAAUCAAUAUUUCAUCAGCAUGUUCAGUAAUGAUCUGUAAAACAAAGCAAAAAAACAAUAAUUAAUUCAGAUAUAAAACUUAAACCAUUUUGCUACAAAAAAACAAAUUAAACCGUUAGGUUGUACUAUGCAUGCUCUACUCGAGUAUUUUACUGUCCAACGCUAGACGAUUUUAUGCUUCAUAAUGAGACUGCCUAUAUGUCUAGUUACCCAUUAACUGCCAGUGCACCCCCUGCUUAAUAAAAAUUGUCUGACGUUAGACAGAGUUAAAUAAUAUAAGUAGGAAAAUUACUAAAUUAGAGUGCAAAUCAACUUAAUGACUAAAUGUGCUGUUUACAUGAUCCCAGUUUGUCAGGACACGAUGAAAGGUGGGAUGGUUUUCAUGCACUGAAAUAAGUCACUAGGCUUAAACAAAAAAAGUUGUAAACAUCACUGCAUAAUCUCAGAGAAAAUUUUCCAAGGAUACAAUUGCCUUGCAAACAUUGUUGGUGUAUAGUUUAUUUGUCAAGCCAGCCAGAUAGUUGAAUUGCUGUUCUCUAAGAUAAAUAGGUUGAAAUUUCGCGAAUUUUAGCUAAGAAAGGUUUGCUAAGCAUCACUUAAAAACGUAAUGAAAUGUUAAAAUACUAAAUGUUUAAAAUACUAAAAGCUCUAAAAAUCCCUUUCGACACUCGUUAUAUUAAUUGGCGUUUACUAGUUUCGUCGUUAGACCUCUUCAGAACCCGCCAUUUUGUUUCUUCAUGUAGUUAUACUUAUUUCUGUCUUAUAUUUCCACUUGUAUUACAUGGCAAAUUAAUCUAACACUACUUGUGCUCGUGGAAAGCUAUGGCAUAAAUAGGAUUAACUCCUUAAGCUGCAAAGGAACUCAAAUGUCUGAUAUCAGAUCAUUUUACUCAUCAAGAGGAAAGUCUUGUGCAUCAGAUGGUCCCAUGCAAGAUGCUUACAACUUGAG